CAAAAAUAAGUUUUAUCUUUUUCAAGAGCGCUGUCUGAUUUGAGGCGACAGCGCUCUUGAAAAAGAUAAAACUUGUUUUUG